rnacentral:rRNA from 1 species
AUUGAACGCUGGCGGCGUGCUUAACACAUGCAAGUCGAGCGGUAACGCGGGAGCAAUCCUGGCGACGAGCGGCGAACGGGUGAGUAAUGCUUCGGAAUCUGCCCAGUAGUGGGGAAUAACCAGCCGAAAGGUUGGCUAAUACCGCAUACGUCCUACGGGGGAAAGCAGGGACCGCAAGGCCUUGCGCUAUUGGAUGAGCCGAAGUCGGAUUAGCUAGUUGGUAGGGUAACGGCCUACCAAGGCGACGAUCCGUAGCUGGUCUGAGAGGACGACCAGCCACACUGGGACUGAGACACGGCCCAGACUCCUACGGGAGGCAGCAGUGGGGAAUAUUGGACAAUGGGCGAAAGCCUGAUCCAGCGACGCCGCGUGUGUGAAGAAGGCCUGCGGGUUGUAAAGCACUUUUAGUGGGGAUGAAAAGCUCAGGGCUAAUACCUCUGGGUCUUGACCUAACCCACAGAAAAAGCACCGGCUAACUCUGUGCCAGCAGCCGCGGUAAUACAGAGGGUGCGAGCGUUAAUCGGAAUUACUGGCGUAAAGCGUGCGUAGACGGUUAUGUAAGUCGGGUGUGAAAGCCCGGCUCAACCUGGGAAUUGCAUUCGAGACUGCAUAGCUAGGGUACGGAAGAGGGAAGCGGAAUUUCCGGUGUAGCGGUGAAAUGCGUAGAUAUCGGAAGGAACAUCAGUGGCGAAAGCGGCUUCCUGGUCCAGUACCGACGUUCAGGCACGAAAAGCGUGGGGGAGCAAACAGGAUUAGAUA